GAACCAUUCAGACACUGGGAUCAGACACCAGUGACCUUGGUUCACCACGGAGUCCUAAAAAAAGGUCUCACAUAGCCAGACCAGCCAGGUCUGCAGAAAAAGCUUUAGAAUCAGUGCUGGGAGUUAGUCCAACCAGGAUCUAGAGAAGUUGCAGUUCUCUGGAGGCUGAGAUGGGAAUAAGGAGGCUGGAAGCCACCCCUUCCCAGCAUGAAGAGGAGGAAGAGGAAACUGCCUUUGGAGCAAUUCAUUGACAAUCCAAGACUAGCCCAAAGAAAGAGGAACUCAAAGCUUUACCAUAAAAUGGAAAAAAGAAGAGGAGGAGAAAGAAGCGAAGAAAAGGAGGAGGAGAAAAGGGAAGAGGAAGAGAAGGAGGAGGAAGAGAAAGCCAUGGGAUAAAAUAAGGUAAGGAAUUUAAUGUGCUAUAUAUGAAUGAAAGUCAAGGUUCUUGACAGUUCAGUAGUCACAUGGGUCAGAAACUACACACAUACUAUAUGACCAUAUGAUGGCCAUCUGAGGUUCACCAUGGUCCCCUGUGGAAGGCAUUUGAGACACAUACCAGGGAAUAGACAGUCUGAAGCUCAUGCUGAGUG
rnacentral:lncRNA from 1 species